rnacentral:rRNA from 1 species
GACGAACGCUGGCGGCGUGCUUAACACAUGCAAGUCGAACGGAAAGGCCCUGCUUUUGUGGGGUUCUCGAUUGGCGAACGGGUGAGUAACACGUGAGUAACCUGCCCUUGACUUUGGUAUAACUUCAGGAAACUGGGGCUAAUACCGGAUAGGAGCUCCUGCUGCAUGGUGGGGGUUGGAAAGUUUCGGCGGGUGGGGAUGGACUGGCGGCUUAUCAGCUUGUUGGUGGGGUAGUGGCUUACCAAGGCUUUGACGGGUAGCCGGCCUGAGAGGGUGACCGGCCACAUUGGGACUGAGAUACGGCGCAGACUCCUACGGGAGGCAGCAGGGGGGAAUAUUACACAACGGGCGGAAGCCUGAUGCAGCAACGCCGCGUGCGGGAAGACGGCCUUCGGGUUGUAAACCGCUUUCGCCUGUGACGAAGCGGGAGUGACGGUAAUGGGUAAAGAAGCACCGGCUAACUACGUG